rnacentral:rRNA from 1 species
GAUGAACGCUGGCGGCGUGCCUAAUACAUGCAAGUCGAGCGAAUGGAUUAAGAGCUUGCUCUUAUGAAGUUAGCGGCGGACGGGUGAGUAACACGUGGGUAACCUGCCCAUAAGACUGGGAUAACUCCGGGAAACCGGGGCUAAUACCGGAUAAUAUUUUGAACUGCAUGGUUCAAAAUUGAAAGGCGGCUUCGGCUGUCACUUAUGGAUGGACCCGCGUCGCAUUAGCUAGUUGGUGAGGUAACGGCUCACCAAGGCAACGAUGCGUAGCCGACCUGAGGGGGUGAUCGGCCAGACUGGGAAUGAGACACGGCCCAGACUCCUACGGGAGGCAGCAGUAGGGAAUCUUCCGCAAUGGACGAAAGUCUGACGGAGCAACGCCGCGUGAGUGAUGAAGGCUUUCGGGUCGUAAAACUCUGUUGUUAGGGAAGAACAAGUGCUAGUUGAAUAAGCUGGCACCUUGACGGUACCUAACCAGAAAGCCACGGCUAACUACGUGCCAGCCGCCGCGGUAA